GGGGGCGAACCGGGUUCGACCGGGCUUGUGAAGUGCAGGUUGCGUGUCGUGGUUGGUCAGCAGGCCACGUAAAAAGCAGACCACUAAAUUCAAUUGCCGAGCCUAAACUCGCAAUGGCUGCCUAAGAAAAGGCAACCCCGGACUUGUGCUGUUGCCGAAGCGGUGCAUGUUCCGGUCGUCAUUUCGGAUCGUCUCUGAUCAUGUCAGAUAAAGCAGAGAUUAAAUAUUGUUUCUGAACCGUUGCGGUGUCACCUUUGCCUCACUGGGGAUACUGUAAUCAAAUGAAAUGCGGGGAUACACACGUAGACGCUUGUAUGGAACGGUUACGGGACGCGGGUUCAAUUCCCGCCGCCUCCAUUG
rnacentral:tmRNA from 1 species